rnacentral:lncRNA from 1 species
AACAAAGUCCAUUAUAGUGUCAUAGAGGGAACAGGUGGAGAGGACUGGAGCAGUGGCUGAGAACACACAUCUUAAACCACAAGUGGGAAGCAGAGAGAAUAUCCUCAAAAUGGUGUAUGGUGAAUGGUAUACUUCGAGACACAUAUGACAUUGGAUCCUGUUGUGAUAAUUUACCAAGAAUGUUACAACACCACAAAAUAGAUCUUAAACAAUAAAAAUACAGAGACCUGAAUUAUGAAAGCAAGGAAUUUUGAACAUUUAUCUGAUGCCUUAGUAAUAAAUCCAUUUCCUCCAUGGAAAAGAUGGUCUUUACUCAUUUAUGCAUGGACAGUGAAGUUCUUCUCUUCUUGAGGCAAAAUAUUGUCAUCUUCGGAUAAUUUUCCAAAUAUAAGUGAACCAGGACACCAGCUGAGAGCCAGUGUCUUCUGUAACUUACAAGCAAGAUACAUCUGUGAAGCCUCAGCAAUAGAGAUGAGUAAGCAUAACCUUGCACAAUAACAGCACCAGUUGACCUGCCACUGUGGAAGGGAUGUAUCAGGGGAGGCUCUGAGAGCAGGAAGUUAGGUGUUCAUGUCAUGGAAGGGCAGGAUCUGAAACCCAGCAUGCUCAGUAAGAGGUUUGGCUCUCUUCCGAAGCACAAGUAAAGAAGUGAGGUCUCUGAGGAAAUACAAGAGGCAAGAGGCAGGUGACAGAUCUGCAAGAAAAUCCCUAGGAAAAAAAUAGAACUGACUUUGUAAUCACAACAGCUACAGCCCUGGACCUUUGUGGCAAAUUACUCUAAAUGCAAAAAGGAAACAGGCAAUGAUAGGAAAAGAUAAUGUUCUGAGGCAGACAUUGGACUGAAGACCAGGAAGAAUGACGUCAGAUUUUCUUCCAUGAGAAAAGAAUCACGGACAUGGAUUCAGAUCAUCAUGGAGGAAAAAAUGUUAUGAAGAUGCUUUUACUAGACUUUAACAUAAUUGCAGCCUAGAAACAUCUGCUGCCUGCAGAAAACACACUGAAACAAUCUUGCUCCCAGAGAGUUUUGUUCAGGAACUGGAAUAGAAAGGUCCCCUAGGACUAAACCAUGUCACUUUCCUGCUUUUUACCCUAAUAGCCACAAUGGGGUUGAUCAUAACUUUGCAGCUCCCAAAAUGUGAAUGUGGCUUGAAGAGUUCUAUGGCCAUCUCAUCGACCAGAUCAUAAGAGGGCAAGGUUGUUUCUGAAAGAUGACAAUUUAAUAAUUUUGCCCAUUCUGUCCAUCAGCCCUCUCAGAAUGCACUUGCACACAUAUUUCAAGGGUAGACAUCCACGGUUCCUGUGCAAAUCAUGAGAUUUUGUUAUUAACUUUAAAUGACUAAGUCAAUAAGAGAAAGGGUCAAAGAAGAAAUCAGCAGGACCCAGGGUCCAAAAAUAGAAAGUCCCCAAGAAAAAGAUAACAAUGACUCUCGUGAAGGUGAAGAUACAAUGUACACCGUCAAGGAGAUUGUGUGCUACUGAGAAAGUGCGCGAUGCCAGUGGAGUACACUGUCCAGAGGCUUGUGAGGUAGGCAGGGAUCUGCAAUGGGAAUUGGAGAAAGAAGAACAUCUUCUCAGUCUGUCUCUCUCCAUCUCCACAGCACAGGAGCAGAUGUCAUUCUGCCACCUAGAAACCUCUUGCUGAGCACCUAAUGUGCCUGCCAUUUAUUGUGAUCCUUCUUUGUUCCCCAGGCUCUGACCCUUUCAAAAGCAUAGAGUCCAUCAGCCAUGGACUUCAGAGAAGCAGUGGCUAAGCGGCUCAGGGAUGAGAGAGAUUUUUUUAUUCCCCUAGGGAAUAAAGUUAAGCAUGCUGAAACUCUCAUGGUCAUUUCACAUGCUGUGUGAAGAGGCAGGUGAGGGGACACCCAGAGCCUAGUCAACAGUACAAGAUGUAGGCAAAGUCCUAAAGACUCUAAAAUACAGGCUAAUGUGGCCCAAGAGAAGAAAGAAAGGAAGGAAGGAAGGAAGGAAGGAAGGAAGG